CGGAGGGACCCAACCAUGAAGAAAAGAAGUAACCAGAGGGGUCAAGAUAAAGUUGGAGGGAUCAUCUUGUGAAGAGAGAAGAGAAGUGGAAGGGCAAAAGAGCAAAACUGGCAGAUCAGAGGAGGGGAUCAAAUCCCUAGCGGCAACCAUCGAUCCCCUUUGGGCCUGGCUACAUAUCCCUCUCCCCCAACCUUCUUCUCCACCUCUGGCCGUCACCGCGGCCAGGCCGGCAUGGCGGCGCGCCACCCAGUACCUCCACCCACUCCACAACGCUGCAACACCUCCACCCACGCUACCGCAACCCAUCCAUCCACCAGGCGCCAUCACAUCCAGCCACCAUCACCUCGCGCGCCCUACAAGACUAGAGGUCGUGGUUGUCUGGUGCCCCACGCCAUCCUCCACCUCUCUUCUUCAACCUGCUGCUGUUCGCCCUCAACCCUCUCUGCUGCUUCUCUCACCCAGAUGCCCCUGCUGCUCCUUCUCCCACGUCUUGCUGUUGCUUCUCUUCUCUGACCCCCAUUGUUGUUGCCUUCUCCUCUGAACCCCUACUGUUGAUCCUUUUCCUCAACUCUCUCUGCUGCUCCUCUCACGCCCCUGCUGCUACUCCUCUCAAAGCCCCCACGCUGCUGCUCCUUUUCUUUACCUCCUAUUCUGCGCUUCUUCUCUGAACCCAAACAGGUGCCGCUCCUCUUCUCUCUUUACUUUUUGCAAAUUUCUGAAACUUGUAGGUGAACCUUGUGUAUUGUUCCAAACACCUAAUUUUUGUAAAAUUGAGAUAUGUAAUACUUUGUAAGGUUCAGAUUUUAAGAGUACUUGCAACCUGCUGUUUGUUUUGUUUCGUACUUGUAACUAUAGUGUACAUUUAAUAUUCGGUCUAUGUGAUUUUUCUUUCUGAGUUAGUAAUCUGCUAGCAUGUGUUUGUGUUCAUCCAUAUGAACUUGUUCCAUUUUGUAGUCCUUGUGUUAGCUCAAGUAUAUGUGUGUUUGUGAUGAGAAGUACUUCUAUUAUGUCCUAUGAUCUUGCUAUUACACUUUUCUUACAUGUUUGAUGUAUAUAUAUGUUCUGAGGUGUUGUAGUUCUCCUUGUUGUUGAUGGUUGCCUGUGCCAGUAUUGUAGUUCCCAAAGUAUAACAAAAAUACCCAAAAGAGAGUGAUUUCAAUCUUAAUCUCCCUAUGCUGUUUUGCAUUUUCUUUGUCGUCAACCUUGUUUAGUUUAGCUUUUUCUUGCAUUCAUAAUCAGAAUUGUGUUACCUAGCUUUAGCCGAGCAUAAUUGCCGUCGCCUAGUCCCUGUGGAGAACACGACAUCCGUAGCUUGGGGCAUAAAAACCCCGCUGUACUUUCAAUUAAUCAUUUUGGCGCCGUUGCUGAGGACUAGCGUCGAGCGAUUAUGUUAGGCUAUAGACUAGGUUUUUCUUCAUUUUCUAGUUUGUGCCAUAUAUUUGUGUUAUAUCUCUAAUCACUAACCCCUGUUCUAGCUAGUAUCUUUUUGUUUUCUUUUCAUUUUGCAGGUUAGAGCUAUCUACUCGGUUAUGGCAUAUUAUUCAGAUUGUCUCGGAGAUGCGAGGAACACUACAAACAGCACGGAAACUAUUCAAGAACUCAUAAGAUUUCCCAUCGAUUAGAUGAUUUAGCUCGGCAGCGAGAAGUAGUUUUUGAGGAUAGGCCUAGCUCUUAUGAUCCUUAUUCUAGAGGUCAUCCUUAUGUUGCUCCUACAUACCAUAUUUGUGGAUUUCAGGGCCAUUCACCCGCUGAAUGUCAGCGUGGUUACUCUCACUCUCUUGAUUGUUAUGGCAUGAGCUUCGCCCCACAGCCUAGCUCAUACCAAAACAAUUACUCAUAUGGGUGGCCUGAGAACCAGAAUAUGUCAUAUAGGAGCAACAACCCUGAGAUCUCACCAUUUGCUUCUAGUAAUCAUAUACAGGGAUUUAGGUACAAUGAGGAGAGCCACAACUAUGCUCCACAACAGAUUUAUUCAGCUCCUACUCAUAUACCUCAACACCAGGAGAUGUUGCCAAUGGAGUUAAAUGGUCCUCCAUUUGGUCAACCAACAACUCCAGCAACCGCCGAGCAAUCUCAUGUGCAAGUGCCCACACAAGAUGAAUUCGGUGACAUAGACAAGCUCACACUUUUGAGUCUCGAGUUCACUUGGAGUGCUGAGGAUGAUCCUAUUAGGAAGGUUAUACUAGAGGAAAUGAAGAAGAUCAAGAGUGGGAAUGAGCUAGUGGAUGAAGUAAAGAAGAUUGAGAAGAACAUCAACGCUGGCAGUACUAUUUCUUCACAGCUUGAGCUGAGUAAUUCUGGGAAUCCCCUUGAUACAUGUGAGGUUCCAAUACCAUCACAUCUAGCUGACCAAGAUAGCAAGUGCCUUGAGUAAGAGAUACCUCAGAUUGAAGAAGAUGAACUGGAAGACAAGGAACAAGAUGAUCAAGAGCUACAAUUCCCAAGUGAUCAAGUUGAAGACUCAUCAUCUACUACUCUUGAAGAAGUACAAGAAGCUACUGUAGAUGAAGAUGAAGAAGCUGAGAUUCAUUGGCCUAUUGUCAUACAUGAGCGUGAUGUGUCAGGUUUAUCCAAUCCUCUCAAUGACAUGCAUCCUUGUGAUUUCUUUGCUACUACCUUGCAUUGCAUGAUGCCAUCUAUUAAAGUAGAUUUGAAAAGGUAUUUGCUUGUAUAUGAUGAUAUAUACCCUGUUAGUGGCAUUAUUCUCAUUUGUGAUGAUCACAGUUACUUUCCUCGUGCUAGUCCUAUGCUUAAUGAAACAUAUAAUUCCAAUGCUAGUAUUGAGCUUAAUGAUAAGUUUCAUCCUCAUGUUAGUGUUGACCUUGCUGAUUUCUACCAUCCUAAACAUGUGCUUUAUAGCUAUGCUUAUGUAAUUGGAUAUCCGAUGAAUGACUUGGAGGGUAUUAUCCCUACCACUUGCAUUGUCUCUUUCAUUGAGUGCUCUUUCAAGUUCUUGCUUGUGCACAAAUCACUACAUGUUGACCAGGUUCGAGGUGACAUUCCUUGGGACCCCGGUGGAUUUAGAGCAUGGUGAAAAGGAGAAGCAAUGGGCACAUACAAGGAAGAGAAAAGCUGGAGCAUGCACGAGGAUAGAGAGCAUGAGGAUAGAGAAGCAAAAGGAGAGGAGUCACAAUGCAAGAGGAUGUGAGAUGAUCGAGCGAGUUCUACUUCAUAAAGCCUGGUGUAUACCAUGUGCUCUGGAUCGGUGGUAUGUUCCUUUGGGGAGGCAAACAAAAAAACUAAUAAUUGGUCGAGCCGGGUAUAUUCCAUGUUCUCGGGAUCGGUGGUAUGUUCCUUUGGUGAGAUCGAUAAAAUAUUAUCAUUGCUUUAUUUCUGUAAAUAAGUGAUCUGAUCACAAGUGUAUGUUCUUUUUGUUCUCAGGAUCAUGCUCUCUUUAGGAACCUUCGGCACAAUCAUCAUUUGAACUAGUUGAUCUUCUUUUAUCAUUGUAAAAGUUUAAAAUGGUCAAGUCUACUAAUAUCCUACCACUUUGAAGCACUCCUAACCAUUAAUUUUCACUAGCUAGGUUCAAAGCAUGCAUCGUUUGGAGAUCUACUUCACUUGGCAUUCUCUAGUCAGCUCACUGUUCACAAUCUUGCUCUUGUCAUAUUCCUUUGCUUGAGGACAAGCAAAGAUUUAAGUGUGGGGGAACUUGAUAGAGCAUUUCCUCAUAUAAUCUUUUUAUCCUUUUUGCACCACAUUGUAAUCAUAUUUUCACAUUUUUUACUUCAGAAAUAUUCAAAUACCCCCAUUAUGCUACAUUUACAACACUCCUCCAUGUUUUGCAGAAAAGGGCGAAAAGGCCCAAAAUCCUUCUAUAAUAGAGAGUGUCAAGAAACUAUGGUUGCUGUAACUUACGGAGGGACCCAACCGUGAAGAAAAGAAGUAACCAGAGGGGUCCAGAUAAAGUUGGAGGGAUCAUCUUGUGAAGAGAGAAGAGAAGUGGAAGGGCAAAAGAGCAAAACUGGCAGAUCAGAGGAGGGGAUCAAAUCCCUAGCGGCAACCAUCGAUCCCCUUUGGACCUGGCUACAUAUCCCUCUCCCCCAACCUUCUUCUCCACCUCUGGCCGUCACCGCGGCCAGGCCGGCAUGGCGGCGCGCCACCCAGUACCUCCACCCACUCCACAACGCUGCAACACCUCCACCCGCGCUACCGCAACCCAUCCAUCCACCAGGCGCCAUCACAUCCAGCCACCAUCACCUCGCGCGCCCUACAAGACUAGAGGUCGUGGUUGUCUGGUGCCCCACGCCAUCCUCCACCUCUCUUCUUCAACCUGCUGUUGUUCGCCCUCAACCCUCUCUGUUGCUUCUCUCACCCAGAUGCCCCUGCUGCUCCUUCUCCCACGUCUUGCUGCUGCUUCUCUUCUCUGACACCCAUUCUUGUUGCCUUCUCCUCUGAACCCCUACUGUUGAUCCUUUUCCUCAACUCUCUCUGCUGCUCCUCUCACGCCCCUGCUGCUACUCCUCUCAAAGCCCCCACGCUGCUGCUCCUUUUCUUUACCUCCUAUUCUGCGCUUCUUCUCUGAACCCAAACAGGUGCCGCUCCUCUUCUCUCUUUACUUUUUGCAAAUUUCUGCAACUUGUAGGUGAACCUUGUGUAUUGUUCCAAACACCUAAUUUUUGUAAAAUUGAGAUAUGUAAUACUUUGUAAGGUUCAGAUUUUAAGAGUACUUGCAACCUGCUGUUUGUUUUGUUUCGUGCUUGUAACUAUAGUGUACAUUUAAUAUUCGGUCUAUGUGAUUUUUCUUUCUGAGUUAGUAAUCUGCUAGCAUGUGUUUGUGUUCAUCCAUAUGAACUUGUUCCAUUUUGUAGUCCUUGUGUUAGCUCAAGUAUAUGUGUGUUUGUGAUGAGAAGUACUUCUAUUUUGUCCUAUGAUCUUGCUAUUACACUUUUCUUACAUGUUUGAUGUAUAUAUAUGUUCUGAUGUGUUGUAGUUCUCCAUGUUGUUGAUGGUUGCCUGUGCCAGUAUUGUAGUUCCCAAAGUAUAACAAAAAUACCAAAAAGAGAGUGAUUUCAAUCUUAAUCUCCCUAUGCUGUUUUGCAUUUUCUUUGUCGUCAACCUUGUUUAGUUUAGCUUUUUCUUGCAUUCAUAAUCAGAAUUGUGUUACCUAGCUUUAGCCGAGCAUAAUUGCCGUCGCCUAGUCCCUGUGGAGAACACGACAUCCGUAGCUUGGGGCAUAAAAACCCCGCUGUACUUUCAAUUAAUCAUUUUGGCUCCGUUGCUGAGGACUAGCGUCGAGCGAUUGUGUUAGGCUAUAGACUAGGUUUUUCUUCAUUUUCUAGUUUGUGCCAUAUAUUUGUGUUAUAUCUCUAAUCACUAACCCCUGUUCUAGCUAGUAUCUUUUUGUUUUCUUUUCAUUUUGCAGGUUAGAGCUAUCUACUCGGUUAUGGCAUAUUAUUCAGAUUGUCUCGGAGAUGCGAGGAACACUACAAACAGCACGGAAACUAUUCAAGAACUCAUAAGAUUUCCCAUCGAUUAGAUGAUUUAGCUCGGCAGCGAGAAGUAGUUUUUGAGGAUAGGCCUAGCUCUUAUGAUCCUUAUUCUAGAGGUCAUCCUUAUGUUGCUCCUACAUACCAUAUUUGUGGAUUUCAGGGCCAUUCACCCGCUGAAUGUCAGCGUGGUUACUCUCACUCUCUUGAUUGUUAUGGCAUGAGCUUCGCCCCACAGCCUAGCUCAUACCAAAACAAUUACUCAUAUGGGUGGCAUGAGAAUCAGAAUAUGUCAUAUAGGAGCAACAACCCUGAGAUCUCACCAUUUGCUUCUAGUAAUCAUAUACAGGGAUUUAGGUACAAUGAGGAGAGCCACAACUAUGCUCCACAACAGAUUUAUUCAGCUCCUACUCAUAUACCUCAACACCAGGAGAUGUUGCCAAUGGAGUUAAAUGGUCCUCCAUUUGGUCAACCAACAACUCCAGCAACCGCCGAGCAAUCUCAUGUGCAAGUGCCCACACAAGAUGAAUUCGGUGACAUAGACAAGCUCACACUUUUGAGUCUCGAGUUCACUUGGAGUGCUGAGGAUGAUCCUAUUAGGAAGGUUAUACUAGAGGAAAUGAAGAAGAUCAAGAGUGGGAAUGAGCUAGUGGAUGAAGUAAAGAAGAUUGAGAAGAACAUCAACGCUGGCAGUACUAUUUCUUCACAGCUUGAGCUGAGUAAUUCUGGGAAUCCCCUUGAUACAUGUGAGGUUCCAAUACCAUCACAUCUAGCUGACCAAGAUAGCAAGUGCCUUGAGUAAGAGAUACCUCAGAUUGAAGAAGAUGAACUGGAAGACAAGGAACAAGAUGAUCAAGAGCUACAAUUCCCAAGUGAUCAAGUUGAAGACUCAUCAUCUACUACUCUUGAAGAAGUACAAGAAGCUACUGUAGAUGAAGAUGAAGAAGCUGAGAUUCAUUGGCCUAUUGUCAUACAUGAGCGUGAUGUGUCAGGUUUAUCCAAUCCUCUCAAUGACAUGCAUCCUUGUGAUUUCUUUGCUACUACCUUGCAUUGCAUGAUGCCAUCUAUUAAAGUAGAUUUGAAAAGGUAUUUGCUUGUAUAUGAUGAUAUAUACCCUGUUAGUGGCAUUAUUCUCAUUUGUGAUGAUCACAGUUACUUUCCUCGUGCUAGUCCUAUGCUUAAUGAAACAUAUAAUUCCAAUGCUAGUAUUGAGCUUAAUGAUAAGUUUCAUCCUCAUGUUAGUGUUGACCUUGCUGAUUUCUACCAUCCUAAACAUGUGCUUUAUAGCUAUGCUUAUGUAAUUGGAUAUUCGAUGAAUGACUUGGAGGGUAUUAUCCCUACCACUUGCAUUGUCUCUUUCAUUGAGUGCUCUUUCAAGUUCUUGCUUGUGCACAAAUCACUACAUGUUGACCAGGUUCGAGGUGACAUUCCUUGGGACCCCGGUGGAUUUAGAGCAUGGUGAAAAGGAGAAGCAAUGGGCACAUACAAGGAAGAGAAAAGCUGGAGCAUGCACGAGGAUAGAGAGCAUGAGGAUAGAGAAGCAAAAGGAGAGGAGUCACAAUGCAAGAGGAUGUGAGAUGAUCGAGCGAGUUCUACUUCAUAAAGCCUGGUGUAUACCAUGUGCUCUGGAUCGGUGGUAUGUUCCUUUGGGGAGGCAAACAAAAAAACUAAUAAUUGGUCGAGCCGGGUAUAUUCCAUGUUCUCGGGAUCGGUGGUAUGUUCCUUUGGUGAGAUCGAUAAAAUAUUAUCAUUGCUUUAUUUCUGUAAAUAAGUGAUCUGAUCAUAAGUGUAUGUUCUUUUUGUUCUCGGGAUCAUGCUCUCUUUAGGAACCUUCGGCACAAUCAUCAUUUGAACUAGUUGAUCUUCUUUUAUCAUUGUAAAAUUUUAAAAUGGUCAAGUCUACUAAUAUCCUACCACUUUGAAGCACUCCUAACCAUUAAUUUUCACUAGCUAGGUUCAAAGCAUGCUUUGUUUGGAGAUCUACUUCACUUGGCAUUCUCUAGUCAGCCCACUGUUCACAAUCUUGCUCUUGUCAUAUUCCUUUGCUUGAGGACAAGCAAAGAUUUAAGUGUGGGGGAAAUUGAUAGAGCAUUUCCUCAUAUAAUCUUUUUAUCCUUUUUGCACCACAUUGUAAUCAUAUUUUCACAUUUUUUACUUCAGAAAUAUUCAAAUACCCCCAUUAUGCUACAUUUACAACACUCCUCCAUGUUUUGCAGAAAAGGGCGAAAAGGCCCAAAAUCCUUCUAUAAUAGAGAGUGUCAAGAAACUAUGGUUGCUGUAACUUACGGAGGGACCCAACCGUGAAGAAAAGAAGUAACCAGAGGGGUCAAGAUAAAGUUGGAGGGAUCAUCUUGUGAAGAGAGAAGAGAAGUGGAAGGGCAAAAGAGCAAAACUGGCAGAUCAGAGGAGGGGAUCAAAUCCCUAGCGGCAACCAUCGAUCCCCUUUGGGCCUGGCUACAUAUCCCUCUCCCCCAACCUUCUUCUCCACCUCUGGCCGUCACCGCGGCCAGGCCGGCAUGGCGGCGCGCCACCCAGUACCUCCACCCACUCCACAACGCUGCAACACCUCCACCCGCGCUACCGCAACCCAUCCAUCCACCAGGCGCCAUCACAUCCAGCCACCAUCACCUCGCGCGCCCUACAAGACUAGAGGUCGUGGUUGUCUGGUGCCCCACGCCAUCCUCCACCUCUCUUCUUCAACCUGCUGUUGUUCGCCCUCAACCCUCUCUGUUGCUUCUCUCACCCAGAUGCCCCUGCUGCUCCUUCUCCCACGUCUUGCUGCUGCUUCUCUUCUCUGACACCCAUUCUUGUUGCCUUCUCCUCUGAACCCCUACUGUUGAUCCUUUUCCUCAACUCUCUCUGCUGCUCCUCUCACGCCCCUGCUGCUACUCCUCUCAAAGCCCCCACGCUGCUGCUCCUUUUCUUUACCUCCUAUUCUGCGCUUCUUCUCUGAACCCAAACAGGUGCCGCUCCUCUUCUCUCUUUACUUUUUGCAAAUUUCUGCAACUUGUAGGUGAACCUUGUGUAUUGUUCCAAACACCUAAUUUUUGUAAAAUUGAGAUAUGUAAUACUUUGUAAGGUUCAGAUUUUAAGAGUACUUGCAACCUGCUGUUUGUUUUGUUU